rnacentral:misc_RNA from 1 species
AAGUCGUAACAAGGUUUCCGUAGGUGAACCUGCGGAAGGAUCAUUACCACGUUCCAAACGUAUCAACCAUCGCGAAUAAGUUUUAAAUUUCUCCCAUCAACAGAAAAUGAGCUGAAUCACAUGAGUGCGUGUGCGGGGCCUGAAAAUUGGCCAGCGAGUGUGUAAAUAACUUAUAGUUCCGAAAGGACUAUAGACAGCUGUAUUUCUGGGAUGGCUUUUUUCUCCUACCUUCGGUUUCCGACACCGAUUGGGAGGUAGGGGAGCAAACAAACUAUAAUCACCUUUUUGCUAGUUGACUUGAAUAUGUUACUUUCGCUUCGGCGUGAGUACACGUUUUUAAUUAAACGCAAAUACAACUCUUAGCAAUGGAUAUCUAGGUUCUC